GACGAACGCUGGCGGCGUGCUUAACACAUGCAAGUCGAACGGAAAGGCCCUGCUUUUGUGGGGUGCUCGAGUGGCGAACGGGUGAGUAACACGUGAGUAACCUGCCCUUGACUUUGGGAUAACUUCAGGAAACUGGGGCUAAUACCGGAUAGGAGCUCCUGCUGCAUGGUGGGGGUUGGAAAGUUUCGGCGGUUGGGGAUGGACUCGCGGCUUAUCAGCUUGUUGGUGGGGUAGUGGCUUACCAAGGCUUUGACGGGUAGCCGGCCUGAGAGGGUGACCGUCCACAUUGGGACUGAGAAACGGCCCAGACUCCUACGGGAGGCAGCAGUGAGGAAUAUUGCACAAUGUGCGGAAGCCUGAUGCAGCAACACCGCGUGCGGGAUGACGGCCUUCGGGUUGUAACCCGCUUUCGCCUGUGACGAUGCGUGAGUGACGGUAAUGGGUAAAGAAGCACCGGCUAACUACGUG
rnacentral:rRNA from 1 species